rnacentral:misc_RNA from 1 species
UCCCCGUUGCCGGGGCAGUCUGACUAGAAAAAUACAACUAGCCACAGGGGUUGCGCUCGUUAAUGGACUUAACCAAACAUCUCACGACACGAGCUGACGACGGCCAUGCAACACCUGUCACCUGGUUCCCGAAGGCACUCUCGGCUUUCGCCAAAAUUCCAGGGAUGUCAAGCCUUGGUAAGGUUCUUCGCUUAUCAUCGAAUUAAACAACACGCUCCACCGCUUGUGCGGGUCCCCGUCAAUUCCUUUGAGUUUUAAUCUUGCGACCGUACUCCCCAGGCGGGAUGCUUAACGCGUUAGCUUCGCUACUGGGAGGGUCGAUACCCCCAACAGCUAGCAUCCAUAGUUUACGGCGUGGACUAC